ACAGGGAUUGCCUUAGUAACGGCGAGUGAAGCGGCAAUAGCUCAAAUUUGAAAUCUGGCGCUUGCGUCCGAGUUGUAAUUUGUAGAGGAUGAUUUUGGUUAGGUACCUUUCGAGUUCCUUGGAACAGGACGCCUUAGAGGGUGAGAGCCCCGUACGAUUGGAUGCCGAGCCUCUGUAAAUCUCCUUCGACGAGUCGAGUAGUUUGGGAAUGCUGCUCUAAAUGGGAGGUAAAUUUCUUCUAAAGCUAAAUACCGGCCAGAGACCGAUAGCGCACAAGUAGAGUGAUCGAAAGAUGAAAAGCACUUUGAAAAGAGGGUUAAAUAGCACGUGAAAUUGUUGAAAGGGAAGGAUUUAUGACCAGACUUUUUCUAGGAGAAUCAUCCGGUGUUCUCACCGGUGCACUUCUUUUAGUUUAGGCCAGCAUCGACUUUCGGCGGUGGAUAAAAGCUUUAGGAAUGUGGCUUCCCUCGGGAAGUGUUAUAGCCUAUUGUAUAAUACACUGCUGGGGGUCGAGGUACGCGCUUCUGCAAGGAUGCUGGCGUAAUGGUUAUCAAUCACCCGUCUUGAAACACGGACCAAGGAGUCGAACAUUUGUGCGAGUGUUUGGGUGUUAAACCCUCACGCGUAAUGAAAGUGAACGGAGGUGAGAGCCCUUACGGGUGCAUCAUCGACCGAUCCUGAUGUUUUCGGAUGGAUUUGAGUAAGAGCAUAAAUGUUCGGACCCGAAAGAUGGUGAACUAUGCGUGGAUAGGGUGAAGCCAGAGGAAACUCUGGUGGAGGCUCGCAGCGGUUCUGACGUGCAAAUCGAUCGUCAAAUCUGCGCAUGGGGGCGAAAGACUAAUCGAACCAUCUAGUAGCUGGUUACCGCCGAAGUUUCCCUCAGGAUAGCAGUGUUGUCUUCAGUUUUAUGAGGUAAAGCGAAUGAUUAGGGACUCGGGGGCGCUAUAUUGCCUUCAUCCAUUCUCAAACUUUAAAUAUGUAAGAAGCUCUUGUUACUUAGUUGAACGUGAGCAUUCGAAUGUACCAACACUAGUGGGCCAUUUUUGGUAAGCAGAACUGGCGAUGCGGGAUGAACCGAACGCGGGGUUAAGGUGCCGGAGUGGACGCUCAUCAGACACCACAAAAGGUGUUAGUACAUCUUGACAGCAGGACGGUGGCCAUGGAAGUCGGAAUCCGCUAAGGACUGUGUAACAACUCACCUGCCGAAUGUACUAGCCCUGAAAAUGGAUGGCGCUCAAGCGUCCCACCCAUACCUCGCCCUUAGGGUAGAAACGAUGCCCUAAGGAGUAGGCGGCCGUGGAGGUCAGUGACGAAGCCUAGGGC
rnacentral:rRNA from 1 species